rnacentral:rRNA from 1 species
AGCAGCCGCGGUAAUUCCAGCUCCAAUAGCGUAUAUUAAAGUUGUUGCAGUUAAAAAGCUCGUAGUUGAAUUUCGAGACCGGCUUACUGGUCGUGCUAUUGUACGUACUGGUAUAAUCGGUUUCUCCUUUCUGACGAACUAUAAUGCCAUUAAUUUGGUGUUAUAGGGAAUCAGGACUGUUACUUUGAAAAAAUUAGAGUGUUUAAAGCAGGCUCACGCUUGAAUACAUUAGCAUGGAAUAACGGAAUAGGACGUUUGAUUCUAUUUUGUUGGUUUCUAGGAUCGACGUAAUGAUUAAUAGGGAUAGUUGGGGGCAUUAGUAUUCAAUUGUCAGAGGUGAAAUUCUUGGAUUUAUUGAAGACUAACUACUGCGAAAGCAUUUGCCAAGGAUGUUUUCAUUAAUCAAUGAACGAAAGUUAGGGUAUCGAAGACGAUCAGGAUACCGUCGUAGUCUUAACCAUAAACUAUGCCGACUAGGGAUCGGAUGAUGUUAAUUUUUUCAAUGACUCAUUCGGCGCCU